rnacentral:rRNA from 1 species
UAAUACGGAGGGUGCAAGCGUUAUCCGGAUUCACUGGGUUUAAAGGGUGCGUAGGCGGGCAGGUAAGUCAGUGGUGAAAUCCCCGGGCUUAACUUGGGAACUGCCGUUGAUACUAUCUGUCUUGAAUAUCGUGGAGGUGAGCGGAAUAUGUCAUGUAGCGGUGAAAUGCUUAGAUAUGACAUAGAACACCCAUUGCGAAGGCAGCUCACUACACGAUAAUUGACGCUGAGGCACGAAAGCGUGGGGAGCAAACAGGAUUAGAUACCCUGGUAGUCCACGCCCUAAACGAUGAUCACUCGACAUCAGCGAUACACUGUUGGUGUCUGAGCGAAAGCAUUAAGUGAUCCACCUGGGAAGUACGAUCGCAAGAUUG